GAUGAACGCUGGCGGCGUGCCUAACACAUGCAAGUCGAACGAAAAGGUCCUGAUCUUGUUGGGUGCUCGAGUGGCGAACGGGUGAGUAUCACAUGAGUAACCUGCCCUUGACUUUGGGGUAACUUCAGGAAACUCGGGCUAAUACCGGAUAUGAGCUCCUGCAGCAUGGUGGGGGUUGGAAAGAGUCGGCGGUAGGGGAUGGAAUCGCGGGUUAUCAGCUUGCUUGUGUGGUAGGGGUGGACCAAGGCUUCGACGGAUAGGCUGCCUGAGCGGGUGAACGGGCACAUUGGGACUGAGAGACGGCGCAGACUGCUACGGGCCGCAGCAGUGGGGAAUCUUGCGCAAUGGGCGGAAGCCUGAUGCAGCAGCGCCGCGAGCGGGAUGACGGGCUACGGGUUGUAAACCGCUGUCGACGGUGACGAAGCGAGAGUGACGGUAAUGGGUAAAGAAGCAACGGCUAACUACGUG
rnacentral:rRNA from 1 species